GAUGACAAAUCUCCGGAAUCUCUGUAACUCUGUGAUGAUUACUUUGAACCCUUUUGUCUGAUGACUUUGCUCUUGUUUU